GCUUUAGUACUUCCUCCUCGCAAAAUAGUGGAAAAGCCAUUAGAGAAGACCAAUCAAGGAAAUAGACAUUUUGCCCUUAUCUAACUUCUCUAACACCACCAAACUCAAGGGACAAAAUUGUCCAUUUACAACAUCUAAAGGUUUACCUCCACGAAAAAAGCACUAUAGAAAGCAGCACAAAGCACCAGCAUCACGUUUACCACUUUACCUCUUUCAUGUUUACCAAGAAUGAGGCAGGUAGAGGCAUGGGAGUUUUCCGAGGACCGUUUUGCCCCUCUCCUUUGACGACCACCAUCAACGGCGGUCGUCUUCUGCCGGUGAUUUCUCCGACCACCGUGAAAACGGUCCUCAAACCGCCAAAUGCCGAAACCGAAACUGUCUUAUCUGUUUCUGUAAGCUGUGACUGUCACUCUGCAGUAUUUGCAUGCAUCAUAAUCUUCUCAUCUCACCCUUUGCAAAUCAUCAAUCAUUAGAGGCUGUGAUGAGAGAAAAUCGUUCAAAGUAGUCAAAUUUAAUCUGUGUUUGGAGAGUUUUUUGAGGAUUUUGGGUUAUUUUUCCAUUUAAUUUGGCAGAAAAAAAAGAAGAAGAGAAAAUACAAGUUUAUUUUCAUGAUAUUGCAAAUCAAAAUGUUGGUUUUGUUUUGUUUUUGUUUUGUGUUUUGGUUUGGUUUGGUUGGAAAUCAUUUGGGCGCAAUUUGCCGCCAUGGUUGAUUGUCCCACCUCAAAAUUCUCGACCUGAUUGUUUGAUGAAAUGUGGAUCUGAGCCUCCUGUUAGAAAAAAUAAGGAAGAAUUGGAAGCUGCUUUGUUGAAAAGGAUCUUUGUUCAACAAUAUAAUUAGUGUAAGAUUGAGGCUGGGAGAGGCCAUGGGAGUUUCUUAAGGACCGUUUGCCACUUUCUCUUGAUGACCACCAGUCAUCGUUAGCCGGUGAUUUCUCUGAUCACCCCUAAAACGGCCUUAUGAUGAACAUACAAACCCAUGAAUAUGAAUUUCACAAUCUAGUGUUAAUUGUUAAUUUAAUUGUCAGUAUAGUCAAAUUGGGAUUAAGGCUUGAUUGAUUGAUUGAUUGAUAUAGUCAAUUUGGGGUUCUUCUAAGGUGGAUUAUUGAACUAUUGGUUAUUAUUACUGAAGUUAUGAAAGAUAAUAAUGAUCGAUUUAUUGCAAGAAUCUUGCUAUGUGCCAUUGACGUUGAUAUAUUUAAGCAAGAAGAAUUUGAUGUGAUUCUUGGAGCCUAAUUUGAUAAUUGAGUCAAUUUGGUUGCUAAUGUGUUGCAAGCUGUUGUUUGUAUCCCUUUAUUGUAGGAUGGAACUAUGAAAAUGGACCUUUACUUCCUUGCCCAGUGCAGCUGCUCCUCCCGCUUUGGCUCAGGGAUGGGCCUGCAUAUAUCAGUCUUUACGGUGACCAAGAAUGAGGCAGGAGAGGCCAUGGGAGUUUCCCAAGGGCCGUUUUGCCCCUCUCCUUUGACGACCACCUUCAGCGGCGGUCAUCUUUUGCCGGUGAUUUCUCCAACCACUGUAAAAACGGCCCUUAAACUGUCAAGUGCCAGAAACUUAACUGUCUUAUCUGUCUCUUUGAGCUGUGACUGUGGAACUCUGCAGUCUGCACACAUCGUUAUCUUCUUACCCCACAAACUAUAUUAAUCAUUAGAGGCUGUGAUGAGUGUAAACCAUUCAAAGUAGUCAAUCAAUUUGGGAUUGGUGAAUUUUUUGAGUUGUUUGGUUAAUUUCCCUUUGGCUUGGCAGCAAUCAAUGAUGGGUCUUUUUAUUUUGGUCUUUAGAGAGCCACAAGGGCGGGUGAUGAGAAUCAAUCUCAGGAUCUCUUGGAACUUGGAGGAAAGCUCUAACCACUUGUGCUAUCCCUCACUCUCAUUAAAUGAAUGGGUCUUUUGUUGUUAUAGUUGUGUUUUUGGGCUCUGUUUGUUUCAUCUGAAAUAUUCUGGACCCAUCUAUUUUUGUUUGCCGCCAUGGUUGAUUUUCCCACCUUAAAAUUCUCCACCAAAUUGUUUGAUGAAAUGUGGAUCUGAGCCUCCUAAAAAAAAAAGGAAAAAAACAAGAGUAGAAAAACAAUAACCUAAUCCUGAUCCACAUCCAGGGGAAACAAAUUUGGAAGCUAGCAUUGUUGACAAGGUAAUAUACUUUGUAUAUAAUUCUCAGUUCUGCAUUAUUUUUUGGUUUGAAUUUUGGAAGGAUUAGACGGGAAGAUUAUUGAUGCAUCCUUAAAGAGGGCCUUGAUGAGCUUGCUUUUAAGAAGUGGUUGGAUCCCAUGUCUCCUUUCUGCUGUAUCUUGUCUGCAUUUUAAUUUUUUUUAUUGAAGUAUCCUUCAGUCUUAUGUUUUAUGAUGUACAUUUUAGGUCUAUGCCCUCACCAACUGAGCUAUAUCAGUAUUAGUAGUAAUAAUGGAUGUACACUUAGUUCAUUUGUGGAUAAGUGAGUUAUUUAGAAGGCAGUGAUGAUUCCAUUUUAAAAAAUUCAACAUACUCCGUCACGUAAAGGAUUUAUGUCAUGCUUUUUCUGAAGUCAAACUUCACAAACUUCGAUCAUUAAUUCCUAUUAAUAUUAGGGGACCAUAAUCAUAUGGUAUCUUGUUUGAUUUGUUUCAUUGUGUAUUUGUAAAUAUCAACUUUACACUACGUAACUAAAGAAUUAAUUGGCAAAGGUGUCUUGUUGACUGUGAAAAAGCAAACAGGAAAUCCAUCUGGGGGAGCUAUAGAGUAGUUGAUAAUUGAAGGGGAGCAAGCAUUUGCUAUUGGCUUGGCAGCCAAAGCUCUUGAGCUUUGCUUGGUUUGCCGCCAUGGUACUGAGCUUAUGCCUGACCAAAAGUGAAACUGAGCCUAUCUAUCUGUUACUAAUAAUUUGUAUUCAUACGAUUCUUGAAUGAACCAUUGAUUAUAAUUAAAAGCUACCUGUUUUUUACUCAUAUGUAUCAAAGCAAACCUGUGUUACUAACACUUCUGAUUUUGAUACCUUAGCAGUUGACAUUCCGGGGUGUCAUUAAUAUUCCUCUUAGGUCUAUAUUUUCCAUUUCCCCUUUUGGAGCUUUUUCACGUUUGUGCUGCCUCGCUGCACCUCUCACCCCUCCUCUUUCCUCCAUUGAAGCAUACUUUGAAUUCUCUAUUGAAGCGGCUUGUGAGCUUUCUCUCCUCCAUUGAAGCAGCUUCUAAGAUAAGAUGUCAAUUGCACAAUCUAGUGUUAAUUGUUAACAUUGCUGUCAUAGUCAUUUCAGGGUUCCUCUAUGGUGGAUUAUUAAACUAUUGGUUAUAAAUACCGAAGUUAUGAAAGAUUAUAAUGAGCGAUCUUGUUACUAGAAUUCUGCUAUUCAUAUCCUUAAGUGAGAUGAAUUUAACAUAUUUUUUCGAGCCUAGUUUGAUAAAUGAGGCCACUUUGGUUGCUAAUGUGUUGCAAAUAUAACCCUUUGAUGUCAGGAUAAAACCAUGAAAAUGGGGCCUUUUCUCCUUGGACCAGGGGCAGCCACCCCUCCUGCCCUUGCUCAGGGACAGGCCUGCAUAUGCCAGUCUUUAUGGUUUACCAAGAAUGAGGCAAGGAGAGGCCAUGGGAGUUUCCCGAGGUCCGUUUUGCCCCUCUCCUAGAUGACCACCGUGAGCGGCGGUCAUCUUUAGCCGGUGAUUUCUCCGACCACAGCAAAAACGGCCCUCAAACCUGUGCAUGCCAGAACCUUAACUGCCUUUUCUGUCUCUGUGAGAUGCGACUCUGCAACUGUUUGUCAGCCUGCAUCUUUUAUCUUCUUACCCCACAAUUAUCAUCAACCUUUAGAGGCUGUGAUGAGUCUAAACCGUUCAAAGUAGUCAAUCAAUUUUGGUUUGGAGAAUAUUUUGAAUUGUUUUGGUAAUUUUCCAUUUGGCUUGGCAGCAAUCAAAUGAUGGGUGUUUUGUAUGUUGCGGUUGUUACUAAGGCUUUGUUUGGUUCAUCUGGAAUUUUUCUGGACCCAAUUUGAUUGAUUUUCCGCCAUGGUUAAUUUUGCCUCCUCGAAAUCCUCAACCAAAUUGUUUGAUGUAAUGUGGUUCUGAGCCUCCUAAAAAAAUAAAAACAGAUCCUGAUUCAGAGAGGGGGAAAAAAAAAUUAAAAAAAAAAAUUGAAAGCUAGCAUUGUCGACAAGGUAAUACAUAUUACUCAGUUUGCAUUACUUUUGUGGUUAUUUUGGGAUGAUUAAAUGGGAAAAUUAUUCUUACAUCCAUUAAAGAGGGCCUUGAUGAGGUUGCUUUUGAGCAGCAGUUGAAUCCCAUGUCUCCUUUGUGCUUGUAUCUCACCUGCAGUAUAAAGUUUCAUAUUGUAUGAUGUAAGUUUUAGGUCUUUGCUUUCACCAGUCAUUCAGUCAACAACUGAGCUACAUCAGUAAUUCAGUAUUAGUACGGAGCCGAAGUAAUGGAUCUAUAUUGGGUUCAUUUGGGAAUGAGCGCCUAAUUUUAAAGGCUGCAAUGAUUCCAUGUUUUGUACUUCAAUAUCCUCCUUAUUUACGAGCCUCUCAAUUGUAGAAUGUUACUCUAAUAGACUUUGGGUCCAUUCUUGAUUUCUAUUCUAAUGAAGGCUGAAUCUCUCUCUCUCUCUAAUGUCUAUGGUUAUGUAACUAUGUGUGCACGUAUGUGAAUAUGCUGAUACAUUGAUGGAUGUUAUUGUUCAAUUGGCUGAUCACAAAAUGAGUGAUGUUCAACUCUAGCAGGAAGGUGUUAAGGUAAGAACCAGACGGUACCUUGCUUCAGUUAAUUAUGUUGUUUUUUGUUGACAUUUAGAAAAUAUAAUUAUUGAAUAGUUAUGUUUUCUGUAAUACAUGAAGAAGUUGAUUGGCUUUGGUGUUGUUGCAUAGCUCGACCAAUCGGAUACAUUAUGCAGUCAAUGGCUCUGUACUUAUGAGACUCGAGUAAAUCGGAUGGUAGGGAAGUUCGCAUUUUGGUGAUCCUGCAAAUGCUUAAGAUUGCUCAUUGGCGGGAACAUUUGUGAUCAAUUGGUGGCUUUGAGAUAAAAUGCUGAUCAAAACUUCACAGGCUCACAUAUUAUAAGACUCGGGCACAAUCAAGUGACAGGUGACAGGUGACAGCAUCAAGUAUUUUGCUGGUUCAGAGGCAACUUCAGAUUUGUACUGUUACUGGUAUUGUUAUGUAGGCACUUAAAAAAGGCUCACAUUCUAUGAGAAUUGGUGCAAUCAAGUGACAAGCGACAGCAUCAAGUAUUUUGCUGGUUCAUAGGCAACUUCAGUGUUUGUACCAUUACUGAUACAAUUAUUUAGGCACUGAAAAGUUACAACUCCAUAGUGAUUAUUGAAUGUUCAAGCACUAUGUACAGACCAAAGCUUUCUUGUAUAAUGUACGGAGUAUAAGAUUGAAGAAAUUAUGCUGAUUAAUGAUAAUGAUGAUUGAUUAAAAGUUGUAA